GAAACAUAUUCACUGUGUACAAUUGUUUAGAUUUAAUUAAAAUGUGAAGUAGACCGUAAGUGGGCUGUGACAGUCUCACUUGUUAUUGCCGAGUUUGGUCACAAGGCGGCAGUGUUGAGCAAGUCUUUCUUCCUGUUUACGUGCGAACAACCUGGAGAUUUGCAGAGUGGUUGGUGCUGUGACUGCAUUGUGUAAAGUAGUAGAUACUCUUGGAGUUGAUGUCCUUGGAUUUUGGCGCCAGACGUCGACCACUGUGUUCUCAGUUGCAUUGCAAGGUAAACAACAGUGUGUUGAGUUGUGCAGUCUUCGGGGAGUUCCAAGUGGGGUUGGUGAAACUUGUGAAAAAUAGUGAGCUACAAGAAGCCAACUUGUGCUGGUCUGCUGUCAUCUGAUCAACUAGUAGAAGAUGUCCAGCUGAACAGAUUCCUUUAUAUACGGCAGUGAGUGACACCAGUAUGUUUAACAACAGAGGCAACAGCAGAGUCAUAUGUAUCAAUAUGGUGGGAACCUCAGUGCCGAUUGGUCCUAAAAAUGUGGCUGGUGAAUGCUGCAUUCUCCUCGUCCUGACUGACACCUUCAGUCUGAAAUAUUCUUUCAAAUCUUUCAAACUUCUCAAGUCUUUCAAAGAUGCUUGAUGAGACUCAAACCAUUGAGGCUAAAACCAGCCUACAAGUACAUUAUCCUGACUCACAUAAUCAAACAUGGCUGUUGGCCUAACACAGCUUGUGCACGGCUCUUUUUUGUGUAUUCCACUAUGUGUGGCACAGUGUCAAGCUUUUUGAAGUUCCUGGUUUAAUGGACUUUGUUUAUAAAUGAGACAUUUAGCAACACUUUAAAAUUGUCUGUUUGUCAUUUUGGAAACUGAUUACUGGUGACUAAACACAUUGCAGAGUCAAAUUGUAAUUUUUGUGGAGGGAACAUCAGGUCUGUUCAUCUGACUGUUAAAAAUUGUUGACCUCUGCUUUGAUUUAUAUUGUCUGUUGGUUUCCAUAGUAAAGUUUAAACAAUGUUUAAAUUUAAACUGCAAGAAUUGGUUAUCAAACAAACAAACAAAAAAAAAAACAAUUGAAUGUUAACAUUAUGAUGUUUGUUAAAAUGUGAAUUGUAUUGAUGCUAACUAAUUAUUCAAAGUACAUUUGACAUCAUACAUAAAAAAGUUGAGUUGGUAAAAAUGUUUAAAAUUGACUAUUCAGUUUUACUCAGUUUAAUCAAGUCUGAUAUAAUCAUAUGUUGACUUUAAUAAAGUUGGUUGAACUAA